GUGGUGUAAGUAGUCCUUUGACCUACGGUGACAUUGGCUAUUCGCAAUAAGGCUACUGAAUUUGACUGCACGUUCUCUUGGUCCCUAGCCAUUCGGAUCUUUGUUGUGUAUAUUGGCUUCAGUAGGUUCAGAUUCGCUGUUUGGAGUAGGAUGCACCUAAAUAGAAUCUAUCGAUCUUGAUAGAAAAAGAGAAGUCCUAUAUGAUUUAUGAGAUUGAGUUCAGAAAGUCUUUAGCCAAAGCGAGUGUGAAUACUGGAAAAGAGUUUCUACGAGAUUCACAAAUAAACUCGAGUCGAGCCAAUCUAACAUAUGACUGA
rnacentral:lncRNA from 1 species